GACGAACGCUGGCGGCGUGCUUAACACAUGCAAGUCGAACGGAAAGGCCUUUUCGGAGGUACUCGAGUGGCGAACGGGUGAGUAACGCGUGGGUGAUCUGCCCUGCACUCUGGGAUAAGCCUGGGAAACUGGGUCUAAUACCGGAUAGGACCGCACUUUAGUGUGUGUGGUGGAAAGUUUUUUCGGUGUAGGAUGAGCCCGCGGCCUAUCAGCUUGUUGGUGGGGUAAUGGCCUACCAAGGCGGCGACGGGUAGCCGGACUGAGAGGUUGGUCGGCCACAUUGGGACUGAGAUACGGCCCAGACUCCUACGGGAGGCAGCAGUGGGGAAUAUUGCACAAUGGGCGCAAGCCUGAUGCAGCGACGCCGCGUGGGGGAUGACGGCCUUCGGGUUGUAAACUCCUUUCGCCAGGGACGAAGCGUUUUGUGACGGUACCUGGAGAAGAAGCACCGGCUAACUACGUG
rnacentral:rRNA from 1 species